UGGGGAAUAUUGGACAAUGGGGGCAACCCUGAUCCAGCAAUGCCGCGUGUGUGAAGAAGGCCUUCGGGUUGUAAAGCACUUUUAUCGGGAACGAAACAUUGUCGGCCAAUACCCGGCAAGACUGACGGUACCCGAGGAAUAAGCACCGGCUAACUCCGUGCCAGCAGCCGCGGUAAUACGGAGGGUGCAAGCGUUCAUCGGAAUUACUGGGCGUAAAGCGUGCGCAGGCGGUUUGUUAAGUCUGUUGUGAAAUCCCCGAGCUCAACUUGGGAAUUGCAAUGGAUACUGGCAGGCUGGAGUAUGGUAGAGGAAGGUGGAAUUCCCGGUGUAGCAGUGAAAUGCGUAGAGAUCGGGAGGAACAUCAGUGGCGAAGGCGGCCAUCUGGGACAACACUGACGCUGAAGCACGAAAGCGUGGGGAGCAAAC
rnacentral:rRNA from 1 species